UACAGAGGGUGCAAGCGUUGUUCGGAAUUAUUGGGCGUAAAGCGCGUGUAGGCGGCUUUGCAAGUCGGGUGUGAAAGCCCUCGGCUCAACCGAGGAAGUGCGCCCGAAACUGCAGAGCUUGAGUACCGGAGAGGAUGGCGGAAUUCCCCAAGUAGAGGUGAAAUUCGUAGAUAUGGGGAGGAACACCGGUGGCGAAGGCGGCAUCCUGGACCAAUAUUGACGCUGAGGAGCGAAAGCCAGGGGAGCAAACGGG
rnacentral:rRNA from 1 species